GCGCCUCGUGGAGGAUCAUGUUGACCUGCACACGCAAUAGAAAUAGUGCAAAUUUGACCUAUUUUUACAAAUCGCCCUAAGAUAGUGGUCUAAAAUAAUUUUAAACUCGUGGAACAGGACCAACUCACCGUUUUGAGGUGGUUUAGCUCCUGGUAGUCGGGCUUCCCUCUCCCGAACACUUGCAGAACCUCGUCCCUGGCACGGGCUUGCCAGUCGUCGUGCUUGCUUAAAAGGAUCAUUGUCCAAACCAGCAGAGACGAGGUGGUCUCCUGGCCGGCGAAGUAGAAGAGCUUGCACUCCUCGAUCACUUCCUCGAUGCUCAUGCCGGACUCAUUUCCGUUCUGUUUCAUCUCCUUCAAAUUGGACUCCAAUAGUAAUCCCAAUAAGUCGUCUGCGCUACCUUCUGCUGCAUUCAUUCUUUUCUUGAUGAUUCCGAGCACCAAUGAUUUUAUUUCCGUCGUAAGUUCUUUCAUUCUCCUGUUGAAUUUCGUCGGCACAAACCUGCACAAAAAGUAUAAAAACCACAGAUGAGUCUAAAUACUACUCAUAUACUGCAUCAGUCGACUCAUCGGCUAAGUCGAAUCAAACCAAGCGCGUGAAAUGCAUGCACCACAUAUAAAAAAAAGUUACGAGUCAAGCUCAUCGCCUCGAGUCACCCCACCUUGCAUUGGCUAAUUAGUCGUCAAGACUGACUCGAGCCGACGAAUGAGUCAGCUCGAUAUGAAUGCUCCGAUAAAUUUACUACAAAAACAGACAGAAAGCGAGUACUGUAUCUAACAUAUAUACAUACCUCCAUCCGGGGAUAUAGAGAGAGCGAUUGGACUCCAUGAUGAGCUUUCCCUGCUCUCUUUGUAGUUCGAAUAUCUUCCUUCCUUCCUCAUAGCUACUCCCAAACGCAGUUCUUGAAAUCACAUCGCUCGUCAUUGUCUGAAGAUGAGGCCACACAUCCACUUCACCUUCAUUUCCCACAAUCUCAUCCCAUUUGCUCAACAUUUCACCGCAGCUCAAGUAGAACGAUGGAACCAUAUGCUGUUUGCAUCGAAAUGGACAAGAAUUCCUCAUCAGUUUCAACAUAUGUAAGAACCUAUAUACUAUUUCAUAGGGCUGACAAAUCGUGCGCGUUGGAUUGUUAUCGGGUUCGAACACGAACUGAUAAGGCCAGACCCGAACACGAUCUGUUAAGGAAGUGCUCGACACGAACAUGAACCCGGCACGAUUUACUCAAACCCGAACACAACACGAACUCGACACGAAUACGAUAACAAUACGAUUUGAAUUGUGUUGACACGAUACGAUAAUGACACGAUGUGAUUAAACACGAAAUCCUAAAGGUUAAAGUGUAGAAAGAAUUAAAAUUUUAAAAUAAAUAUUUAAUAAAAAUAAUAAUAUUAACUCUAUCAGGUGACACGAAAUUAUAUCAGGUCCUUAUCAUGUCGACACGAUAAGGACACGAACCUAUUAAGGCUUGACAUUAACUCAUUAAUUUUGUGCGGUUUCGUUUCGUGUUUUCGUGUCGUGUCGAAAAUUGUCAGCCCUACUAUUUCUCAUCGAAAUAUAAAUUUACCUUCAAUUUGUCGACGUGGAAGGCAGGGUUGAUGAGUUUUCUGUGCUUGGCCCAUUUAUCUGUCUCGUAUAAUGCUACCCCUUUCGCGAGCAUCUUACCAAAUGGAUUACCAGUAGGCUUUAGGAAAACAUAAUUCUUGGAAGUGAUCUCUCGUAUCAUUUCAGGCUCUGUGAUGUUUAUUGCAGGCUUUGGUCCAAACCAAGUAAAACUUUUCUCACCUAAUCACAAGUAAGUAACAAAUUUAAGGCUGAAUUUUCUUCUAUUGUAUAUUUAUUUGUGCAAAAUCAUUAUAUUUUUUUUAACUUCAUGUUAUAGAUAUACUCCACUAUUAAAAAAGGAGGGAAUAUGAGUUAUCAUACUUAGGUGUAUUCUCUUUGAUUGAUAAAUUUAUUAUAAAAACAAAUGAAGAAUAACAAAAACUUUUCCCUUUAAAUCUCAAUUUUAUUUUCUCUCAUUUUCCGUCGAAGAGAAUUUCAUCAUUUUUUAUUCCUUCUCCUCACUUCAAGGACGAAUAAUAUUAUCACAAUAAAAAUGGAGGGAUAUUAUCCUCGAGUAAAAAUAAGGAAUAAGAAAUGGUAAAUUCACUUUUGUAAAUUUUUAUUAUCCCUCAUUUUUUCAUAAUAAAUUUAACAAUUAAAGAUAACACAACCUUGGAGAAAAAUUAUUCAACCUACAAAAUGGGACAAGAUUCAAUAUCCUAUAAUUUUAUAUGUGAUAACGUAGUUCACUAUUAUAUUUAUUAUUUUAAUAAUAUUUUAAAAAAUUAUAUAUUAUAACUUUGAAUUUAUCAAUUUAAUUUUGAACUACAGAAAGUGAGAUUAAAUGAUAUAAAAUAUAACUAUUAACUACAAAAAGUUAAUAAUCACAAAAUUAAAUUAAAAGCAUAUAAAAUUAAAAUUAAAAAAAAUAUAUUAAAUAAAAAUAAAAAUAAGACAUAAAAUGUGACACCAACUGUAAUACACUAGAUUUUAAACUAUAGAAUAUAUGAAAAAAUAAUAAAAAUAUAUUUUUUCUACCAUUUUCCAUGGAUAAGGUACCCUAAUUAAUUAUUGAAGGAAAAAGUAAAUUAGCAUUAAAAGUGUAGACUUACCAUAUCUUUUGCAGGUUUGGUAGUAGAUGGGAAUAGCUCUAGGCGCAAUAUCGUUUGAAAAAUUCAUAGGUUUGGACACGGCUUCUUUGGCGAUGCUCCUUAUCUCUUUGAAAUCUCCAUAGAAAAGCUUGUAAGAAUUUCCGUUGAAGCCCUGCUGUCGCAGGAUUUUUUCGAGUUUUUUGGGGGUAAACCACACCCAAUUCAAUAGCUUCCAUAGAUAUAUUAGAGCUACAGCAGCGCAAGAAAUUUCCACUGUAGAAAUGAAAACAUCCAUGGUUAAUUGAUUGAUUUUUUUGCAGUGAAGGAGAAGAGAAGAGAAGAGGGAAGAAGUUUAUAGAAGAUGAUCGAUAGCUAGCUGAGAAGAAUACGUAUUUAACUGAAAGAGUAGUUUUGUUUGAAUUCUUUCGUUUUUCCAUUUGUCGUUUUCUUCGGCAAUCAGUAAGUGGAAGUUUUUUAAAAUAAAAUUGACAAAUUUCUAUUUUAAGGAAAAUUAUGAGAUCAUUUCUCAAAAAAAGAAAAUUAUGAGAUCGGAUCAGAUAUGUAUAUAUGGGGUAAAUUUUACAAUGAUUUUCUGAUCACUCAAAACACUCUUUCUAUCUGUUUCGUUUGUCGCAGCAUGAAGAGUCAACACCAUCUACUUAUUAAAUCUAAACCAAUGUUAUCAUAAUUCGAGUAUUUAUAAAAUAAAAUAAAAAAUUAAGAGGGAGACACGAUGGAACACAGUAAAUUGUGGGACAAAAGAUCUCAUCUGCCCUAUUUUGGUGUCCCAUUCCAUGUUUCACUAUCGAGUUCUUAAGUAUAUAUAUAUUUAUUAGUCUUAUUAUAUUGUAAUUUAGUUUAAUUUUAUAAUUACACCCAUCCAAUUAGAUCUUAUUCGGUCUCCUAGUUCUAUUAAAUGACAACUAAAUUGUUUUCAUCUAUUAAUAGGGAAAUUCUUAUCCAAUAAUUCUGAUAGAGAUUCAAAUCUAAGAACAUGAAAGUACAAAUACUUUAUAAGUCAAAUAUAAUUACUCCCUCCGUCCCACGAAGCAUGAUACAGUUUUCUUUUUGGUCUGCCCACGAAUCAUGACACGUUUCUAAAAAUGGCAAAAAAUUUACCAUUUAUUCACAUUUUCACUUUUUCACCUACCACACUUAACACACAAAAUACCAAUUUCUUAAUUCUCGUGCCGAAAAGAACUAUGUCAUGCUUCAUAUCUACAUUACUGUUGUAGUUUGGUAAGGAUCAAGUGUGCUCCAUGUUGGGGCUGAAGAGUGAUGACCUUAUAAGGAGCAUGCGUAUACGACGGCGACAGUUGGAACGAAUAACGCUGCAGAAUCAUAGCCAUCGCCAUUUUAGCUUCCAACAUAGCGAAGUUCUGCCCUAUACAAAUCCUCGGCCCCCAACCGAACGGAAAAUACACAAGCUGCCCUUGCGUCGCCUUUGACACGCCUUCAGCGAACCUCUCUGGUUUGAAGCUGGUCGCGUCGGCCCCCCACAACUGGGUGUUGUGGUGCACCGCUAGCACCGGAAGCAAGAGGUGCACUCCCGCCGGCAUACUAAUCUUCCCAAAUCGAGCAUCCUUGUGAGUAGACCGAAUAAGCAACACCCCCGGCGGGUAUAGCCUCAGAGCUUCGUGGAGGAUCAUGUUGAUCUGCACACGAAACAGAGCUUAUAAGAUGUUUUAAGAGUUUAUUAAAUAUAGUUUUUCAAGAGCUUAAUUAUUAAUUAGAGAGAAUUUCUUUUUUGCUAGAUUGAGAAAAUGAAAAAUAUGAACUUGAAUAUAUUGAAAAUAACAAAUUAUGGUUAAAUAAUAUUUGUAAAAUAAUUGUUGCAUAUAAAAAAUAAGUUGGAUAAGCGAACUUAUUUGUUGGAAUUGGAUAGCUUAUAAGCUUUUGAAACUUAUUUUUAAAGUUUAUAAGCUGUUUAAGAAAUUUAUUUUGGCAAACACUUCAAAAUAUAAGCUGUUUUAAAGAGCUUAUAACUCACGGUUUUGAGGUGGUUUAGCUCCUGGUAGUCGGGCUUCCCUCUCCCGAACACUUGUAGAACCUCGUCCCUGGCACGGGCUUGCCAGUCAUCAUGCUUGCUUAAAAGGAUCAUUGUCCAAACCAGCAGAGACGAGGUGGUCUCCUGGCCCGCAAAGUAGAAGAGCUUGCACUCCUCGAUCACUUCCUCGAUGCUCAUGCCGGACUCAUUUCCAUGCUGUUUCAUCUCCUUCAAAUUGGACUCCAAUAGUAAUCCCAAUAAGUCGUCUGCGCUAACUUCUGC
rnacentral:lncRNA from 1 species